rnacentral:rRNA from 1 species
GACGAACGCUGGCGGCAGGCCUAACACAUGCAAGUCGAGCGAGCGGCGGACGGGUGAGUAAUGUCUGGGAAACUGCCUGAUGGAGGGGGAUAACUACUGGAAACGGUAGCUAAUACCGCAUACCAUCAGAUGUGCCCAGAUGGGAUUAGCUAGUAGGUGGGGUAAUGGCUCACCUAGGCGACGAUCCCUAGCUGGGCUGAGAGGAUGACCAGCCACACGGGAACGGAGACACGGUCCAGACGCCUACGGGAGGCAGCAGUGGGGAAUAUUGCACAAUGGGCGCAAGCCUGAUGCAGCCAUGCCGCGUGUAGGAAGAAGGCCUUCGGGUUGUAAAGUACGUUCAGCGGGGAGGCGUUACCCGCAGAAGAAGCACCGGCUAACUCCGUGCCAGCAGCCACGGUAAUAC